AGAGUUUGAUCAUGGCUCAGGAUGAACGCUAGCUACAGGCUUAACACAUGCAAGUCGAGGGGAAACGAUAUUGGAAGCUUGCUUCCGAUAGGCGUCGACCGGCGUACGGGUGAGUAACGCGUAUCCAACCUGCCCACCACUUGGGGAUAACCUUGCGAAAGUAAGACUAAUACCCAAUGACGUCUCUAGAAGACAUCUGAAAGAGAUUAAAGAUUUAUCGGUGAUGGAUGGGGAUGCGUCUGAUUAGCUUGUUGGCGGGGUAACGGCCCACCAAGGCGACGAUCAGUAGGGGUUCUGAGAGGAAGGUCCCCCACAUUGGAACUGAGACACGGUCCAAACUCCUACGGGAGGCACCA
rnacentral:rRNA from 1 species